UUCUUUGUAGCUUAACUAGGUAGAGCGUUAAACUGCGGAUUUAACGAUGAAAGUUCAAAUCUUUCCAAAUUCA
rnacentral:tRNA from 1 species